rnacentral:piRNA from 1 species
UUGAGUAGUAUUUUUCAAAAC